rnacentral:lncRNA from 1 species
ACUGUGUAACAACCCGCCGCAUACUUCCACCGAAAAAUGGAAAGAAAGGAGUGGUCAUUUUAGAAUCAACCGGCCCGCAGCUCUGGGAUUUCGCGAAAAGCGUCACCGGCGACGACUGUCAGUUAGAAAUUUCUGACCCUUCCAGUUCAAUUCCAAUUGUUCGGGAACUAAAAUUUAAGGUUCAAGGUAAAUCAUUUUAUCCAUCCUCUACAGUUACGCCAAUGGGCAAAAUUAUCAAACAAGUGUAAUGCCCAAAUUCCAAUGAAUAGUUUCACCAAAUCUUGUGAGAUAUUGAAGUAAUAUUAGAACUGCCCUUUAUAGUCACCACAGUUUGAAAACAAAAAUAAAAGACCAAUGUUUUUCAUUUACAGAGCGGUGUAACGGAAAAUGAGACAACCAGCAAAAUGAUAUUUGAACUACGAGUAGAUGUUGUAAUCAUAGAAUCCCUGUUUCUGGCUUUACGUUAGUUUAACACCAACUUACGUGACAUUAAUUUUUCUCCAUCGUUUGGUUUUGAUCCAAUCUUGGGCCCGAAUUUUGUUGGCAAAGUUACGGUCGACCGCAAGUUCAGGCAAGGAUGUUGAAUUUGUGUUCUGGUCGCUGACUCGCUGAUUAUGGUUUUCACCGUUGGGAAACUAAGAAUGGCUCUAUACCCUGCUGUAAAAAAGCUCAACUUGCGCACGGCUUGAGUUUAGAAUGUAAUUAUUGCAAUUUAAAGUUGGAUUUUGAGGUUAGGUUCUCAACUUGCGGUCGGCCGUAAACCAACAAGAUUUGGGUCUUGGUCUAUAUCUGCCAUAAGCGUAACAAUGAGGUGAUGGCAACGCGAGAAUACAACUAUUCCAACUCGAGGGCUAUCUCUGAUGCAUAUAUUCUGCAUAGGGAAGGCGUGUCCCCGUUUGUUUAAUUUCUCUCCCUUUCAUUUCUUGCGUUCUUUUUCUGUUGGAUUCAUUUCUUUGUUUCCAGGAGCUACAAAUGUAGAGAAAAAGAUCCAGCGAAUCAUGAAAUAACAUUUCGGUACGGUGGUGGGCGUGGCCGUGGACGCGGGAGACGAAGAGGAUUAGGGCCAAAGACAACCACAACACUCAAGCCAGUUCCAAUAGACAAGGACGUUGAGUACCCAGAGGCUUUCAAAAGUCAUCUAUCUAAUUGGGAUAGGAAACGAGGAGACAUGACGAGGGCACCAGCGCGGCCGAAACUGGUUCAGCAAUCGGAGCGAUUGGUGCAAGUUGAGUGGAAACCACCGUUGAAAGUUAUGCCAAUAGAGUUCUACCGCGUCGAAUACAUGAAAGACGACAGUCAGAACCAAUGGCUUCCCUGUCACAAGGGCAACUUACCUGCCCGAACCCGUGCUUUUCAGUUUGACCAGCUGAUGACCUUUCGGAGAUACAAGUAA